UUGAAGUGGUUCAGGUGUUUCAGUCUAAAGUUCAGAGCGGCUCUGUUAUCCUUAAAGAACACUUCAGUGUGAAGGUGAACACAGAGAGUUUAGACUUCAUGUGAAGAAUGCUGAAAACCUCCUUCUGUCAGUUCCAUGUUUGUUCUCUCUCUGCUUGGUUUCCUGUUUGAAGCUGCUGAUUCAUUUCACCAUCAGAAGGUGGGCGCUCUGCCAUGGAUCAGUGUGAGGACAGAGAGGAGGGAGCUCCUCCCUCUAAAACCACUCUGUGUGGGGAACAUGAAGCUCAGAGGCCAGAGCAGAAGCAUGGAACAGACUCUCCUGGACCUGGACCAAGCUGUUUGUCUUACAAGAGUAACUGUUCUAUGGACAGACCUAUUGUUUUUAAGGAUGGACGUCAGU